CAUAAAUAACAUAAAAUAUUUAAUUUGGCCUUGAAUAAUUAAAUAAUAGCUCAUGAAAUGGACAUAGGCUGUAUAUACGGCUGCUUAAGGUCUAAAUUGCUUUAAAAAUCAAAACGAAUCAAAUAAGUAUAGUAUGUUGUAUCAUCUGCCUAAAGUUCACUUUAGGGUUCAGACAAUGGUCCAUGUAUAUUUGAUAACUACACGAGUACAUUUUUAUGUAUUCUACUAAGUACUGAAAAUAAAAAAGUAUAUAAUAAUUAUUAUAGUAGAACCCUACCACGAAUUAGUAAAUAGUUAAAUCCAACCCUAAAUAGUUUAUACAAGUACAAAUAUAAUGUGUAUAAUAUUAUUUGUUAUCGAGUUGAUUUCAUAGCAUCAGUAAUAUUUCAAUAGUCAUCAUAACCAUACAUUUAUUUGUUUUGUACAAACAGGAAUUUAUGGAUAAAUAUACAAAUGUAAAUUUGACUAGAAAAUUUAAAAACCCGCAAUACUAUGUCAAUGUAGACGCUGAUCUAAGAUGGCGGUUUUAGUGCGCAUCUACACAGAAACUGCCAUUUUGAUUCGCUAAAGGUCUAAAAAUCUGGGUUUCAAAUUUUCUGAUCAAGUUUUACCUGUAUUAUCAUGUCUAGUUAGCAUUCCAAAUUCUGUGAUUUCAGAAACACGCAUUUUAGAGGCGAGGCCAUUUUAGCUACUGACCUAACUUGGCGUUUUUCGGCAACUGCAAUAGAAAUUAUAAAAUUAGCAUUUUUCUGGGAGACAUUUCGAUGUCGAGUCUGUGUUUUCUCAUCUUGUUAGUAAACCUAAAGAUAAUACAUAAUAAUAUUAUUAUAUCAGUUAAAAAUCAUAAUAAUAGUCUGGUAACACUGUAACCUAAUAAGCAGUUGCCAAUUUUUUUUUAAUAAAACUAUUUGAAAUUGUCUGAGGUAAUUUAAAAGUCACAAGAACCUUUAGAAAUUCUGCAAAUAUUGCAUGAGAUUGUUUUAAUAAACUAAAUGUAAAUAAAUGUAGAUAUGUUUUAUGAAGCAAUAUAGAGAAAUAGAAAGUUAAAAGGUUUAACACUUGUUAUACAAUCUU